CACGUAGGGGCCAAGCGUUGUCCGGAUUUAUUGGGCGUAAAGAGCUCGUAGGCGGUUCGACAAGUCGGGUGUGAAAACUCCGGGCUCAACCCGGAGACGCCACCCGAUACUGUCGUGACUGGAGUCCGGUAGGGGAGUGGGGAAUUCCUGGUGUAGCGGUGGAAUGCGCAGAUAUCAGGAGGAACACCAAUAGCGAAGGCAGCUCGCUGGGACGUUACUGACACUGAGGCGCGAAAGCGUGGGGAGCGAACAGG
rnacentral:rRNA from 1 species